UACGGGGGGGGGCAAGCGUUGUUCGGAAUUACUGGGCGUAACGGGCUCGUAGGUGGCCAACUAAGUCAGACGUGAAAUCCCUCAGCUUAACUGGGGAACUGCGUCUGAUACUGGAUGGCUUGAGAUUGGGAGAGGGAUGCGGAAUUCCAGGUGUAGCGGUGAAAUGCGUAGAUAUCUGGAGGAACACCGGUGGCGAAGGCGGCAUCCUGGACCAACACUGACACUGAGGAGCGAAAGCCAGGGGAGCAAACGGG
rnacentral:rRNA from 1 species